GAUGAAGAACGCAGCGAAAUGCGAUAAGUAAUGUGAAUUGCAGAAUUCAGUGAAUCAUCGAAUCUUUGAACGCACCUUGCGCCCUUUGGCUAUUCCGAAGGGCAUGCCUGUUUGAGUAUCGUGAACACCUCAACUCUCAUGGUUUGCCAUGAUGAGCUUGGACUUUGGGGGUUUUGCUGGCCUUUGGUCGGCUCCUCUCAAACGGAUCAGCUUUCCAGUGUUUGGUGGCGUCACGGGUGUGAUAACUAUCUACGCCUGUGGUUUUCUGCCAGAUAACCUUCAGCGAUGGAGGUUCGCUGGUGCUCAUAAAUGUCUCUCGUCAGUGGAGACAGCUGUUUGGACGUUUGAUCUCAAAUCAGGUAGGACUACCCGCUGAACUUAAGCAUAUCAAUAAGCGGAGGA
rnacentral:misc_RNA from 1 species